GCCGGGCGUGGUGGCUCACGCCUGUAAUCCCAGCGCUUUGGGAGGCUGAGGUGGGUUGAUCACCUGAGGUCAGGAGUUUGAGACCAGCCUGACCAACAUGGUGAAACCCCGUCUCUA
rnacentral:SRP_RNA from 1 species